UACGAAGGGGGGCUAGCGUUGUUCGGAAUUACUGGGCGUAAAGCGCACUAGGCGGAUACUUAAGUCAGGGGUGAAAUCCCGGGGCUCAACCCCCGGAACUGCCUUUGAUACUGGGUAUCUCGAGUCCGGAAGAGGUGAGUGGAAUUCCGAGUGUAGAGGUGAAAUUCGUAGAUAUUCGCAAGAACACCAGUGGCGAAGGCGGCUCACUGGCCCGAUACUGACGCUGAGGCACGAAAGCGUGGGGAGCAAACAGG
rnacentral:rRNA from 1 species